GUCUAUGGCCAUCCAACCCUGAACAAGCCCGAUCCCGUCUGAUCUUGGAAGCUAAGCAGAGUUGGGCCUGGUUAAUUCUUGGAUGGGAGACCAUCUAGGAAGACCAGGUGCUGUAAGCG
rnacentral:rRNA from 1 species